UACGUAGGGGGCAAGCGUUGUCCGGAAUCAUUGGGCGUAAAGCGCGUGUAGGCGGCUUGAUAAGUCUGCUCUGAAAGCCCGGGGCUCAACCCUGGGAGGCGGGUGGAUACUGUCGAGCUCGAGUCCGGAAGAGGCGAGUGGAAUUCCUGGUGUAGCGGUGAAAUGCGCAGAUAUCAGGAGGAACACCAAUGGCGAAGGCAGCUCGCUGGGACGGUACUUACGCUGAGACGCGAAAGCGUGGGGAGCAAACAGG
rnacentral:rRNA from 1 species